CCUACGGGAGGCAGCAGUGGGGAAUAUUGCACAAUGGGGGGAACCCUGAUGCAGCGACGCCGCGUGGGUGAAGGAGUAUUUCGGUAUGUAAAGCCCUAUCAGCAGGGAAGAACAAUGACGGUACCUGACUAAGAAGCACCGGCUAAAUACGUGCCAGCAGCCGCGGUAAUACGUAUGGGGCAAGCGUUAUCCGGAUUUACUGGGUGUAAAGGGAGCGCAGGCGGCGCGUUAAGCCUGGUGUGAAAGUCCGCGGCCCAACCGCGGGACUGCAUUGGGAACUGGCGGGCUGGAGUGACGGAGGGGUAGGCGGAAUGCCUAGUGUAGCGGUGAAAUGCGUAGAUAUUAGGAGGAACACCAGUGGCGAAGGCGGCCUACUGGACGGUGACUGACGCUGAGGCUCGAAAGCGUGGGGAGCAAACAGGAUUAGAUACCCGAGUAGUC
rnacentral:rRNA from 1 species